AAGAAGGUGAUAGACCUGUACGGGUGGCGAGACGGUCGGUUGGUCGCUCCUUGGAGUCGGGUUGCCUGGGAUCGCAGCCCAAAGUUGGUGGUAGACCUCAUCUAAGGCUAAAUAUGGCCACGAAACCGAUAGCAAACAAGUACCGUGAGGGAAAGUUGCAAAGAACUUUGAAGAGAGAGUUCAAGAGGGCGUGAAACCGCCGAGAUUGAAACGGAUAGAGUUGACGAAACUCGAUCGCAUUCAUCCGAUCCGCCUAGCGGUUCGGCGGUUGUUGACUUCCUCGAUGAGGGCAACGCCGUCGCUGGCUGUUGGGUGUUAGAUGGGUGUAUUUGCGGUCGGUAUGCGCCGAGAGCUUUGCGAACGCAUGUUGGCGUUGAUGUAGUGGACCACUCCCUCCGGGCGUGGAACCCUGCACUGACUGAGGCAUGUCGUUUGUAGGGUGUUGCUGGUUGACGUCUCCGCUAUGGUGCGUCGGCUUUGCGGACUGUUGUGGCUACUGGGUGAUCGCAUGCGAGCGCCUGUGGUUUAUGAUCGUACGAUGAGGUGCAGACGCGCUUGAGGACUGCAUCUCGGUGUGAA
rnacentral:rRNA from 1 species